CGGCGGACGGGUGAGUAACGCGUGGGUAACCUGCCUUACACAGGGGGAUAACACUGGGAAACCAGUGCUAAUACCGCAUAACAUCAUUUUAUGGCAUCAUGAAAUGAUCAAAGGAGAAAUCCGGUGUAAGAUGGGCCCGCGUCCGAUUAGCUAGUUGGUGAGGUAAUGGCUCACCAAGGCAGCGAUCGGUAGCCGGACUGAGAGGUUGGCCGGCCACAUUGGGACUGAGACACGGCCCAGACUCCUACGGGAGGCAGCAGUGGGGAAUAUUGCGCAAUGGGGGGAACCCUGACGCAGCGACGCCGCGUGAAGGAAGAAGGCCUUCGGGUUGUAAACUUCUUUGAUUGGGGAAGAAAAAUGACGGUACCCAAAGAACAAGCCACGGCUAACUACGUGCCAGCAGCCGCGGUAAUACGUAGGUGGCGAGCGUUAUCCGGAAUUACUGGGUGUA
rnacentral:rRNA from 1 species